rnacentral:tRNA from 1 species
GGCCUUAAGGUGAUAAGCACAUCGAACUGCAAAUUCGAAGGCGUAGAGGAUUAGCUCUACUAAGGCUU